CCUACGGGCGGCAGCAGUCGAGAAUCAUUCACAAUGGGGGAAACCCUGAUGGUGCGACGCCGCGUGGGGGAAUGAAGGUCUUCGGAUUGUAAACCCCUGUCAUGUGGGAGCAAAUUAAAAAGAUAGUACCACAAGAGGAAGAGACGGCUAACUCUGUGCCAGCAGCCGCGGUAAUACAGAGGUCUCAAGCGUUGUUCGGAAUCACUGGGCGUAAAGCGUGCGAAGGCGGUUUCGUAAGUCGUGUGUGAAAGGCGCGGGCUCAACCCGCGGACGGCACAUGAUACUGCGAGACUAGAGUGAUGGAGGGGGAACCGGAAUUCUCGGUGUAGCAGUGAAAUGCGUAGAUAUCGAGAGGAACACUCGUGGCGAAGGCGGGUUCCUGGACAUUAACUGACGCUGAGGCACGAAGGCCAGGGGAGCGAAAGGGAUUAGAUACCCCGGUAGUC
rnacentral:rRNA from 1 species